CUUGAAAGAAAAAACACCCCCGAAUCGAGCGACCGCAUCUCCCACCCCAUCUCGAUGCGCCGCCUCGCCGCCGCCGGCCCGCAUCCUCCGCCACGCCAUCCUCCGCCGCGCCGUGCUGCCGUCCUCCCCGCACCCGGCCUGCCUCCUGUCCGCCGCGCCAUCCUCCCUGCGCCAUCCGGGUCCUCCGCGCGCGGUUCGCCGACGCCGAGGCCCAGGCCGCCGCGCUCCGGGCCUGCACCGGUCGGCUCGAGCACGCGCCGCCGACCGCGACGGGCUGCUCAACACGCUCCUCGCUGCCAUGGGCAACGGCCGAGAGGAGGAGGAGGACACGCAGGAGGCAGGGCAGCGUCAGAAUCGCGCGCGUUGGAUCCGGCCGAUGGUUACGGCGACACGGACGCGGAGGCUCUGGCCGCGGUCGCCGCGCUCUAUGCCCCGCCCCUGCUCGCCGAGCCCUGCCUCUCCGGAUCUCCAGCCAUGUAUGCUGCCGGGGACCCUGCAGGUCCAAGCUCGUCGGCGAGGGGGAGCGCAGACAGCAGCCUAGCCCGUCAGUAACAUGGCAGUAGGCCUCUUCUCCCCUUCCCAGUUUACAGCAGCGUGCCACACUUUCUCAGGCUCCUGUCCCCGUCGUCAGCACACCGAUUCAGAGGUAGAGGCUGACUUGCAGCUCGUGGACACAGAGGAGGAAGCCUAAGAUCAAUCUCAAAAGCUGUUAUCACUGUUCUCAGCCAGCGAUGCAUAGGGGAAUUGUUUGCUCAUCUAUGUGUUAAAAUCUGGACCUUUUCAUCAACGACUUCAACAAGGACGAGAUCAAGCUGCAUCUGCGCUGCUCUGUCCACCACAACAAUUUUGGAAUGCAUUAACUUUUAUCUGCCCAGGCAGGAACAUGAGCAUGCAUUUCUGGGAGUUCGCAAGAAGGCGUUGACCCCCUUAUAUAUAUUGCUGCUCUCUGCCAGAAACCAAAUAAAUAACACUUCAUGAUGCUGCUCACUGAUCGAUACUAAAUAUAUGGCUUGUUCUCGAGGAUUGUUAUCACUUUUUGAUUCAUAUGGAAUUUGAGGAUAUGGAUGACACUGGUUUGUUUCUCUUUCACUAAUAAAAUUCUGUCCACCAUUAGCUUACGGGCAAUGCUCCAGAUCCACAUGAACAUGCCUGAGUAAAUGCUCUUUAUGGUUCCAUGUUCUUAUGUAAUAAGACUUGAUGUGUUUUAUCUUCCAAUAAUUCAGACACGGGCCUUCCAACUUGAUACAAGCUACUGACAAGAGUUAGAGGGUCAGGUUUGAUAUUAUUAUUUGUUGUAUGACUAUUUGUUCUCAUUAUGGCACACCUUAUUUAUCUUUUAUUAGUUAUUACAUAGUUUGUCUAUAUUACUCGAAACAUAAUUAUACUGCGUACAUUUAGUGGAUACUGUUGAGUAAAAACAAAAUUCGAACUUCAAAUUACAUACUGGAUUUAGAUUGUUUCCUUAGAAACGAAGAGUUCUUUUUUUGAUGAAAAUGCCAGAUUGGCUUUUCAUUCAUGAAGAAGGGGUGUAGUACAAAGUGUUUCUCAAAAAUACAGGGUAGUACAGCUGCAUACGAACUGUAUGCAGGAAACAUACAGUGGAACAGAACUGAAGCAUCUCUAAUCUGGCUCCCUUGGUUUUUGAAUCAGCUGGUUAAAACCCAAGAUAUCUUUUGCGGUUCCCAGUAGUUGUUUACUAGAGGUAUCCAUGAUCCUUUAGAAAUUAGAAGUGUUAGCAAAACAAAGUGGAACUGAACUGAAGCUAUUUCCAUUAGUAUUGUCUACGUCUCCUUGACCUUUCAUGGGAAUCUGAUGUAACCAUCCUGCAACCUGCAAUACUAUAGAUGAUAUGCAGAGAAGAUUUCAAUAUUACUUAUUACUGCCUUAGUACCAUGCCGUUCUUCUCUACAUAAAUCAUUUAUAAAGCUGUAGGAGGAGCUCAGCUUACAUAUCUGAAUAUCCAACCAAUUGCCUUACCACUAAUUAGUUGCCACACUGCAACUACUGACAGUGGAUACUGACAUCUUAUUCUCUUGGUAGAGUUCAAAACAACAUGAAUCAAGCUGAUGAAAUUCAGUUGUAUUUUUUUCUUUUCCGACCAUGUAGUUUUUUAAACUGCUCUGAAGGUCCUUUCAUAUGUAAUUAAGCUCACACGCAAACGUCCUUGUACGUACUAUAGAAUCAUAUGCUGACAAUAUUGAACUUUUCUGUUGUAGUAAGAAUAUCAAGCGUUGUUUUGUCAUUGGUGUUUCAGUUUGUCGGUUACAGGUAUAUCAUUCCAAUAUUCAUACUAUAGGAGUUGUUGUCAGGGAGUGCGAGAGGGGCAGCAGAGUGGCCAGUGAGGGGAGCACCAUCACGGGAGAUGUGUUCAUACAACGCAACGUCGAGGAGAUGUCGACGACCUCCGUGGAUGAGCGGUGGUUGUGAGAGUUUUCCGAGGAAGGCCCACUCGAUCAUGGAGUGGCUAUCGCUGCAGAAGGCGACGCUAGCAACAGAGGCAGCCAUCCAUUUGUGCCACCAUCAAUAACAACGUUGUAACAAGCAUGGCUCUGCACUGGUGAGUAGAACUCUUCCUCCAAAUCAAAUCCAACUAUUGGAUUAAGAUGUUCUAAAAUUUGUUGCCUCACUGCCUCAUCUGUGUCCAUAUCUCUGUUGGGAAUUUGCAGGUUGCUGAAGCAGUAGAGUGGCUUAUGUCAUGUAGGCAACUGGUGGCUACAAGGAUCCGUAUGUAAACAUGGUGUGUGAAAUUUGUGCUACACAGGAAUGGAAUUGCCAAUUUACAAAAUAUAAUAUGCAUGUUUGGUUGAUGAUUACUUGGGGUAGCCGAAUAAAACUUGGAACCAGUAUAACUUCAGUGUGGCUAUGAAAAUUUUAGAUGGAGU
rnacentral:rRNA from 1 species